UUCGGUCAUAUCACGUUGAAACAACGGUUCCCGUAGGAUCUACGAAGUUAAGCAAUGUCGGGUCUAUUCGGUAUUUAGAUUGGUAACCGGUUGGACAUACCAGGUGUUGUAAG